GUCAGGUAAGAUUUUCUCUCAGAGAUCUAGUCUGUAUGUCAGGUAAGAUUUUCUCUCAGAGAUCUAGUCUGUAUGUCAGGUAACAUUUUCUCUCAGAGAUCUAGUCUGUAUGCCAGGUAACAUUUUCUCUCAGAGAUCUAGUCUGUAUGUCAGGUAACAUUUUCUCUCAGAAAGAUGUUCUCCUAUUUAAGUUCAUUAACGUCCGUUUCUAUUGUAUUGACUGUCCCUUGUAGCUUGUUUGUGCCUUUCUCCGUUAUCGCAGCUUUUUCAUCACUCAUCUCGAGGCUCGUCCUUCAACUCCUUUGUAUAUCUUUACUGACUAAUUCAAGUAUGCCCAGUUUGUCAUUUAUUCGACUUUAUCAGAUCGCUUUCCAUCCUUACCAUUCCCGGUGGUGAAAAGCAUAAAUCGUC
rnacentral:lncRNA from 1 species